CAGCCGCCGCGGGAAUACGAAGGGGGCUAGCGUUGUUCGGAUUUACUGGGCGUAAAGGGCGCGUAGGCGGACUGAUAAGUCAGGGGUGAAAUCCCAAGGCUCAACCUUGGAACUGCCUUUGAUACUGUUUGUCUUGAGUUCGAGAGAGGUAAGUGGAGCUGCGAGUGUAGAGGUGAAAUUCGUAGAUAUUCGCAAGAACACCAGUGGCGAAGGCGGCUUACUGGCUCGAUACUGACGCUGAGGCGCGAAAGCGUGGGGAGCAAACAGGAUUAGAUACCCCCGUAGCCCUGUCUCUUAUACA
rnacentral:rRNA from 1 species